AGGCCAACUUUUGUUGGUUGGGGAUUUUGAGUUUGCCAUGUGAGAUCCCAACAAUAUGAAGGGUUUACAUCAACAACUUGAACCUGCAUCAAGAAUGAGAUUGAGUAACAUUGUUACCCUCAGUUAUCAGACAAUAUACACUAAUAAUGCAAAUACUAACAGCCAAGAGAGCAAUUCAAGAGCAAAACUGAAUGAUGAAAAGGAGAAAAUUAUACUGCUAUGCUCAAGAAAAUAUGGCUGAAUGAUGAAAAGCCUCUAAAGAAAACUUUUUCAAGUACAAACCUGAAAGUAUGGCUGCAUUACAUGUUAUGCAGAAACCUUCAAAACCCAGUCCAUGAGUUAUCUAAGCCCCUGAAUAAACUGUUUUGAGGCAUCAUGCACAUCGAAUUAGCACCACAAUUUACUUCAUCAGUGGUAAAAAAAUUACC
rnacentral:lncRNA from 1 species